GACGAACGCUGGCGGCGUGCCUAAUACAUGCAAGUCGAGCGGAUCUUCAUUAGCUUGCUUUUGAAGAUCAGCGGCGGACGGGUGAGUAACACGUGGGCAACCUGCCUGUAAGACUGGGAUAACUUCGGGAAACCGGAGCUAAUACCGGAUAAUCCUUUUCCUCUCAUGAGGAAAAGCUGAAAGACGGUUUCGGCUGUCACUUACAGAUGGGCCCGCGGCGCAUUAGCUAGUUGGUGAGGUAACGGCUCACCAAGGAGACGAUGCGUAGCCGACCUGAGAGGGUGAUCGGCCACACUGGGACUGAGACACGGCCCAGACUCCUACGGGAGGCAGCAGUAGGAAAUCUUCCGCAAUGGACGAAAGUCUGACGGAGCAACGCCGCGUGAGCGAUGAAGGCCUUCGGGUCGUAAAGCUCUGUUGUCAGGGAAGAACAAGUACCGGAGUAACUGCCGGUACCUUGACGGUACCUGACCAGAAAGCCACGGCUAACUACGUGCCAGCCGCCGCCGUAAGAC
rnacentral:rRNA from 1 species